UCCAGACUCCUACGGGAGGCAGCAGUGGGGAAUAUUGGACAAUGGGGGGAACCCUGAUCCAGCGACGCCGCGUGAGUGAAGAAGUAUUUCGGUAUGUAAAGCUCUCUCAGCAGGGAAGAAAGAAAUGACGGUACCUGACUAAGAAGCCCCGGCUAACUACGUGCCAGCAGCCGCGGUAAUACGUAGGGGGCAAGCGUUAUCCGGAUUUACUGGGUGUAAAGGGAGCGUAGACGGUUACGCAAGUCUGGAGUGAAAGGCGGGGGCCCAACCCCCGGACUGCUUUGGAAACUGUGUAACUGGAGUACAGGAGGGGCAGGCGGAAUUCCUGGUGUAGCGGUGAAAUGCGUAGAUAUCAGGAGGAACACCGGCGGCGAAGGCGGCCUGCUGGACUGAAACUGACGUUGAGGCUCGAAAGCGUGGGGAGCAAACAGGAUUAGAUACCCGCGUAAA
rnacentral:rRNA from 1 species